AAUAGAUACCCCGGUAGUCCACGCCGUAAACGAUGAGUGCUAAGUGUUAGAGGGUUUCCGCCCUUUAGUGCUGCAGCUAACGCAUUAAGCACUCCGCCUGGGGAGUACGGCCGCAAGGCUGAAACUCAAAGGAAUUGACGGGGGCCCGCACAAGCGGUGGAGCAUGUGGUUUAAUUCGAAGCAACGCAAAGAACCUUACCAGGUCUUGACAUCCUCUGACAACCCUAGAGAUAGGGCUUUCCCCUUCGGGGGACAGAGUGACAGGUGGUGCAUGGUUGUCGUCAGCUCGUGUCGUGAGAUGUUGGGUUAAGUCCCGCAACGAGCGCAACCCUUGAUCUUAGUUGCCCAGCAUUCAGUUGGGCACUCUAAGGUGACUGCCGGUGACAAACCGGAGGAAGGUGGGGAUGACGUCAAGUCAUCAUGCCCCUUAUGACCUGGGCUACACACGUGCUACAAUGGAUGGUACAAAGGGCUGCAAACCUGCGAAGGUAAGCGAAUCCCAUAAAGCCAUUCUCAGUUCGGAUUGCAGG
rnacentral:rRNA from 1 species